GAUGAACGCUGGCGGCGCGCCUAACACAUGCAAGUCGAACGAUUAAAGCACCUUCGGGUGUGUAUAAAGUGGCGAACGGCUGAGUAACACGUGGGCAACCUGCCCCUCUCAUUGGGAUAGCCACGGGAAACCGUGGAUAAUACCGAAUACUUCGGGACUUCCGCAUGGAAGACUCGAGAAAGCUCCGGCGGAGAGGGAUGGGCCCGCGGCCUGUUAGCUUGUUGGUGGGGUAAUGGCCUACCAAGGCAAUGAUGGGUAGCUGGGUUGAGAGACCGACCAGCCAGAUUGGGACUGAGACACGGCCCAGACUCCUACGGGAGGCAGCAGUGGGGAAUCUUGCACAAUGGGCGAAAGCCUGAUGCAGCGACGCCGCGUGCGGGAUGAAGGCCUUCGGGUUGUAAACCGCCUUCAGCAGGGACGAGGCGAAAGUGACGGUACCUGCAGAAGAAGCCCCGGCUAACUACGUG
rnacentral:rRNA from 1 species